AUAAGGGGUUUCACCUUGUUGCCCAAGCUGGUCUUGAAGUUCUGGGCUCAAGCGAUCUGCCUGCAUUAGCCUCCUAAAGUUCUGGGAUUACCAACAUGAGCUACCAUGCCUGGGUCAAAGCCAUUCUCUGAGCUGAAGAAAAACUACAAAAGAUAGAAACUCAGAUGUGCAGGAAAGAAUAUAGACACCAAAAAAGGAGUGCAAUUUUGACCAAUUACUUUUUACUGGAAGAACUUCAAGAAUAGCUAUGAAGCAUAUGAAGAGGUCUUAAAUUACCCAGGGCUCCUGGAUGGUAAUGGUGGUCUGGACCACCGGGAAGUUGAAGAGAUGAGCUCUGGGACUCAUCAGCCCUGCUGCUGGACCAUAUGGGAGAUUGGUCUGGAACUGGUGACGAGCAUCUCUGGGGACAGUCCACCCUCCUCCAGUGGUCCCCAUUUCAGAUUGGACAAGGUCAAGGUGGCUACUUCAUGCUUCCUGGACAAUCCUUCCUAAAAUGCCCUGGCUUGCCACAUCUGUACCAGUUAAAGGGUGUAUCCUGGGAAUUCUGGGAUUUGUUGGCUUGCCUGGUGGUCAUUAAAGCUCCUGUAUCUUUCCUGUGUUUCCUCUCUGUCUCUCUCGGGCCUCCUUUUCACUUAUAAAAAACCAAAGUAUCCACUUUCAGG
rnacentral:lncRNA from 10 species